rnacentral:rRNA from 1 species
UACGGAGGAUGCGAGCGUUAUCCGGAUUUAUUGGGUUUAAAGGGUGCGCAGGCGGCGAGUUAAGUCAGCGGUAAAAUUUCGGGGCUCAACCCCGACAAGCCGUUGAAACUGGCUUGCUAGAGUGGGCGAGAAGUAUGCGGAAUGCGUGGUGUAGCGGUGAAAUGCAUAGAUAUCACGCAGAACUCCGAUUGCGAAGGCAGCAUACCGGCGCCCAACUGACGCUCAGGCACGAAAGCGUGGGUAUUGAACAGG